GCUUGUUUUUGUAGGAUUGUAUCUCAUGGUGGCAUAAGUAUAAACAAUUGUACUUAUUUCGGCUUUUUGACUUAAAUUUCUUACUUUAUGACACAUAGUUUUUUGAUUUUCUCAGCUCAAUGAAAUUAUUAAGGGACUGUGGUUGUGUUGUUUAUACAUGCAUCUACUUCGUGCUGUUUCUCAUUAAUAAUCUUAUCUUACUUUCUAAAAAAAUUCAUUAUGUUCAUUGCUAGACCUGGAUUAUUUCUCAAGCGAAAAUUGAUAUAAUGACAUUGUGGCUAUUUUGGAUAAAGUGACGCUCUGUUUAAUGAAAAAUUAGAAAAUAGAAUUGAGAUUUCUUGAAGUUCCUAUUGGAAGGCUUGAAUGUUGUACACCUUGUUAUGUCUUUGCUCCAUAAAAAUAGAAAAGGAGGAUGAUAUAUGAAUGUCUCCACAUUCACUCAGCAACCUCUUUGCUUUAAAUAGACUUAUUUAACUCCUUCCAGGAAUUAGACAUUUGAGUAUCAAUUUACAAACUCAACAUUGAAUUUGCUCUAAAUGCAUAUUUGAGAUGAUGGGGGCGGUGAUUAUAUACUUUAGUGGUUUAAUGCAUUAUAGACAUGUGUUUCUGUAGGUUUUGAGGAUUGGUAAGGAACACUAAAUCCUCCUCUUUGAAUCGAAACUCGCCUCUAUUUGCUUGAGUUGCUCUUUUUUAGCCUCUUUUCUAGUACUUCUGUUCUUCUAUAUGGACUGGUGUUUUUGCAGGUCUUGAGAAUUCAAGAAGUUAUUGUUCACGUGAAGUUGAUUCUCCUAUAUUAGUAGAGAUUGAUAUUUUUCAGUAGAUCUUUAUGGUACUUAACUUUAUGCCAUGCAUAUUAAGGAGUUGAUAGUCAAAUAAUGUGAUAACACCUUUUAUUUUAGUAAAAAGAUUUAACACCAGACUAGUUGCUAUAUCUGUAUAUACAUUUAAUUAAUCAUAGUUUUGGUGCUUCACUACAACAAUUUAUAUUCUUUCUAGUUCUUUUCAAAACAAUAUUCAAUUCUAAGAUAAAUGUUUACUUGUUUAGUGUUUUGCAUGGAUAGUAUUUAACAAUCCAAAUGAUUACACCUUAAUGCCCGGAUAUCUCAUUGGUUUCAGUUUCUUGUAUUUGAUUAGAUAGUCAUAACCCUAAUUAUUAACUCUAAUGCAUUACUAUCAGUUUCUCAACUCCUUACGGCUAAACACUCUCAGCUCCUUGUGGCAAAACACUCUCCUUCAUAUUCCAGGAUUCGGAGACUACAGUUUACAAGACAAUAUACGCUAGGUUUGAAGACUUCAAACAAGCUGAUGAUUUGUUUAUCAUGUUACUAGGAUUGUUAGAUCAGAAAUUAUAUUAGGAUGUUUAUUUUCCCCCAAGGGGUGGGUAUACAGUUGUGUGACUUAUAUAUCAUGGUUAUACAGUGCCGCUAGUCGGAUGUUAAUCCAUUAUUUAUAACUAAUUAAAGACUAUAUUUAU